rnacentral:rRNA from 1 species
UACGUAGGGGGCUAGCGUUGUCCGGAUUUAUUGGGCGUAAAGAGCGUGUAGGCGGCCAGGUAGGUCUGCUGUGAAAACUCGAGGCUCAACCUCGAGACGUCGGCGGAAACCAUCUGGCUAGAGUCCGGAAGAGGAGAGUGGAAUUCCACGUGUAGCAGUGAAAUGCGUAGAGAUGUGGAGGAACACCGAUGGCCGAAGGCAGCCCCCUGGGCUAACACUGACGCUCAUGCACGAAAGCG